rnacentral:rRNA from 1 species
AGCGAACGCUGGCGGUAGGCCUAACACAUGCAAGUCGAACGAACUCACCGGAGUUAGUGGCGGACGGGUGUGUCACAUGUCGGAAGGUGCCGUUUUGCUCGGAAUAAUACAGGUAAACUUGUGCUAAUACCGAAUGUGUUCCUCGGGGGAAAGAUUUAUCGCCAUUAGAGCGGCCCGCGUCGGACUAGCUUGUUGGUGAGGUAACGGCCCACCACGGAGACGAUCAGUAGCUGGUCAGAGAGCCUGGCCAGCGACACUGGGACUGGGACACGGCCCAGACUCCUACGGGAGGCAGCAGUGGGGGAUCUAGCGAAAUGGGCGAAAGCCUGACGCAGCCAUGCCGCGUGAAUGAUGAUGGUCUUAGGAUUGUAAAAUUCUUUCACCGGGGACGAUAAUGACGGUACCCGGAGAAGAAGCCCCGGCUAACUUCGUG